rnacentral:rRNA from 1 species
AACGAACGCUGGCGGCAGGCUUAACACAUGCAAGUCGAGCGCCCCGCAAGGGGAGCGGCAGACGGGUGAGUAACGCGUGGGAAUCUACCCAUCACUACGGAACAACCCCGGGAAACUGGAGCUAAUACCGUAUACGUCCUUCGGGAGAAAGAUUUAUCGGUGAUGGAUGAGCCCGCGUUGGAUUAGCUAGUUGGUGGGGUAAUGGCCUACCAAGGCGACGAUCCAUAGCUGGUCUGAGAGGAUGAUCAGCCACACUGGGACUGAGACACGGCCCAGACUCCUACGGGAGGCAGCAGUGGGGAAUAUUGGACAAUGGGCGAAAGCCUGAUCCAGCCAUGCCGCGUGAGUGAUGAAGGCCCUAGGGUUGUAAAGCUCUUUCACCGGUGAAGAUAAUGACGGUAACCGGAGAAGAAGCCCCGGCUAACUCCGUGCCAGCAGCCGCCGCGGUAA